rnacentral:lncRNA from 1 species
AUGGGGACACCAUGGGGAUGCUUUGAGGACUCUAUGGGGCCAAUAUGGGGACGCUAUGGGGUUAGUACUCUAUGGGGAUGCUAUGGGGCCAAUACAGGGAUGCUAUGGGGUCGCUAUGGGGUCGCCCCGCAGGAGGAGCAGCAGCGCGCACACGAGGCGUGGAUGGAGCGAGCGGAGCAGGAGCUGCUGGAGCUGCAGAGGAACCUUCCAGAAAAACGCAGCCGGGGGAGGGAGCUGGAGGAGCAGCGGCUGCACAGGGAGCACCUGGAGUACGAGGUGGGAAGGGGGGCUUGGGGUGACGGGGACCCCGUCUGGGGGGCGCUUGUGGGGUCAAAGGAGCUGCCUGGGGGCAGAUAUGGGGUCAGAAGUGCAAAGGGGGCACUUUGGGGUCUUGGGGGCAGAUACGAGGCCAGAGGGACCACAUUUGGGGUGCUUGGGGGUCUUGGGGGCAGAUAUGGGGUCAGAGGGGUCACAUUUGGGGUGGUUAGGUGUCUUGGGGGGCAGAUAUGGGGUCAAAGAACUGCACUGGGGGCACUUUGGGGUUUUGGGGGGAGAGGGUUGUUGUGGGGCCAAUAUGGGGACACUUUGGGGUCACUAUGGGGUCACCAUUUAGAUAACCAUAGGGACUCUAUAGGUCACUAUGGGGACUCUAUGGGGGCACCAUGGGGAUGCUUUGAGGACUCUAUGGGGAUGCUAUGGGGCCAAUACAGGGAUGCUAUGGGGUCGCUAUGGGGUCGCCCCGCAGGAGGAGCAGCAGCGCGCACACGAGGCGUGGAUGGAGCGAGCGGAGCAGGAGCUGCUGGAGCUGCAGAGGAACCUUCCAGAAAAACGCAGCCGGGGGAGGGAGCUGGAGGAGCAGCGGCUGCACAGGGAGCACCUGGAGUACGAGUGCCGGCGCUACGAGACCUACGUGAGGCUGCUGGAGACGUGGCUGAACGCAGAGCGGGACCUCGAGAGCUGGGAAGGGGGGGGCCCUCCUGAGCCCCCCACCCUCACCCGGGCCCAUUCCAGCCCCGCACUG